CCCCGCCCCGUCAGGACCCGCGGCAGCUGCCCCCGUCCCCCCGUCCCCGAGGAGCGACGCCGAAGGAGCGGGAGCGACUCACUCAUGGGAGCGCGGCGGGCGAGGCCGGCGACACCUCCGGCUUCCGAGGCGCCGGCGAAGUUAAUUGCACUGAAGUUCAAGUUGUCUUUUCACCCAUCAGGAGUGGGCGUUUAAAGGAAGGAGAGCGAGGAGGAGGAGGGGGAGGGGGGAGAGCCUCUCUCGCUCGCUCUCGCACACACACACACACACGCACACACACACACACAUACACAGAGAGAGAGAGAGAGAGAGAGACGCGCACACAGACACACGCACACAGACGCGCACGCCCGCCCGCUCCCGCGCUGCCUCAGCAGGAGGAGCCCGGCCGGAACACACCAGGGCAGCACCAGGUGAGGUAAUGAAACUGUUGAAUCUGCAGACUGAAACCGUCAGAAGCCUUUCCUGAGGUGCCCCUUACUGAAAUGCUACUGUGGCAUAAUGAUUUGGAAAUAAGCUUUUGUGUGAGAAGAGCUAUCGGAUCCUCUGGGAAACAUUACAGAUACUUUCCAGUUCCUUUCAGACAUGCCCUGAUGCUGCACAGUACCUCAAUCCAUUCAGCUUCUCUUCAAGAUGGUAACUACUUUCCGCUCCACAUCUCUGCUGCAGAAGAUCUUGUGAUUACCUGAAAAAGUGAAUUGCAUCCUGUAGAUUUCCCCUUAAAACUUCUGCUUCACAGAAGAGAUCAGCUUGUGACAGAUGCGUCAGCAAUGUCAGACUCACUUCUCUGUUGCCUAAUUGCCCUCUCCACCUUCUGUCAAUCUGAAACUCUCAUUUUGGAAAGGACUGAAGGAGUUGUAUUAAUAUUUGUGCUAUCCACAUUUUUCCUGCAUAUUGUCUGCUCCUUCCCUUGGUGUCUGGUUUGUCUUGGCUGCUUUUAAAAAUUCUGUUGCCUCUAGUGAGGGACUGCCAGAUUAAACCAGUACAGAGAAUCCAGGUGACUGUCUACUUUUACAAAUAUAGGUUGUGUAUAAUAAAUUCAGGUUUUACAUCUAUGCAAAUUAAGUCAUCAUAUGAUUAUGACUACAUGCAUUUUUUUAUCAAAUAUGGCAUAUAUUUCACAAAUUAUAUUUAACUUAUACACAUGUUGCUAUUCUGAAUACCUGACUAGGAAUUACAAAGUGUGUCACUAGAUCUUAGUAAGUGGGCUUAUGGAACAAGAAGAAAUAAGAGAAAAUCACCUCUUUUCCUUGCAUUCCUGACAAGUCCAGUGUAAGGGCUUUUCCUACUCUAGAUGGCAAUAUAAACACCUUACCACAGAGCUGUUGAGAGAUAAAAGUACAUCUUGUUGUUGGAAACUUAAAGAAUGUAUGAAAAACAAAACAAAAUACCCUAAAAAAGGAAGUUUUAAAGUAAUGUGUCUUUGGUCUAGUGUUUGUCACAUCUACUUGGUAUGGCCUUCCUCUAAUGUUUCAGUCAUGCAGUGUAAGACAUUAGUCACAAUGUCAAAAUAAGCACAUUACUUCUGCAAAAAUGUAUUUUCACCUCAGGAAUAUUGUGAAGUGAAAAUAGGAUUUAGCACAAUUCUUCCUUUUGAGUUUUUCUACAGACAGGACAGUUUUAGUGUAAAGCUCUAAAUCUUGCAAGAUUAUUCCCAGCAUUAGGUACGACACAUCUGGAAGAAUCUGCCAACUGAGUGCUGGCAAGGAUUACGCUGAGAAGGAGUCAUGUUGUCCAUUUGAGGAAGUUGCUGGUAAGAACUGUUCUCUACAAGGUCACCAGGCGACCCUCCCCGGAG
ensembl:lncRNA